rnacentral:rRNA from 1 species
AGUGAACGCUGGCGGUAGGCCUAACACAUGCAAGUCGAACGGCAGCACAGUAAGAGCUUGCUCUUACGGGUGGCGAGUGGCGGACGGGUGAGGAAUACAUCGGAAUCUACUUUUUCGUGGGGGAUAACGUAGGGAAACUUACGCUAAUACCGCAUACGACCUACGGGUGAAAGCAGGGGAUCUUCGGACCUUGCGCGAUUGAAUGAGCCGAUGUCGGAUUAGCUAGUUGGCGGGGUAAAGGCCCACCAAGGCGACGAUCCGUAGCUGGUCUGAGAGGAUGAUCAGCCACACUGGAUCUGAGACACGGUCCAGACUCCUACGGGAGGCAGCAGUGGGGAAUAUUGGACAAUGGGCGCAAGCCUGAUCCAGCCAUACCGCGUAGGUGAAGAAGGCCUUCGGGUUGUAAAGCCCUUUUGUUGGGAAAGAAAAGCAGCAGGUUAAUACCCCGCUGUUCUGACGGUACCCAAAGAAUAAGCACCGGCUAACUUCGUG